UACGGAGGGUGCAAGCGUUAUCCGGAUUCACUGGGUUUAAAGGGUGCGUAGGUGGGCUGGUAAGUCAGUGGUGAAAUCUCCGGGCUUAACCCGGAAACUGCCAUUGAUACUACAAGUCUUGAAUGUCGUGGAGGUGAGCGGAAUAUGUCAUGUAGCGGUGAAAUGCUUAGAUAUGACAUAGAACACCAAUUGCGAAGGCAACUCACUACACGGAUAUUGACACUGAGGCACGAAAGCGUGGGGAUCAAACAGG
rnacentral:rRNA from 1 species